GGCUUAGAGUUUGAUCCUGGCUCAGGACGAACGCUGGCGGCGUGCUUAACACAUGCAAGUCUACGAGAAAGAGGUAGCAAUAUCUCAAGUAAAGUGGCGCAAGGGUGAGUAAUAUGUAAGUAAUCUACCUAUGGGUUCGGAAUAACGUCGAGAAAUCGGCGCUAAUACCGAAUGACGCAGCGGCAUCGCAUGAUGAUGUUGUUAAAGUUGUCCCGACUUGUCGGGAUAACUCCUAUAGAUGAGCUUGCAUCUGAUUAGCUAGUUGGUAGGGUAAAUGCCUACCAAGGCUACGAUCAGUAGCUGGUCUGAGAGGAUGAUCAGCCACACUGGAACUGAGACACGGUCCAGACUCCUACGGGAGGCAGCAGUGAGGAAUAUUGGGCAAUGGACGGAAGUCUGACCCAGCAACAGCCGCGUGGAGGAUGAAUGCCGUAAGGUUGUAAACUCCUUUUGAAGGGGACGAAAAGCCAAAUUUCGUAAGUAAUUUGGGUUGA
rnacentral:rRNA from 1 species